UACAGAGGUCCCAAGCGUUGUUCGGAUUCACUGGGCGUAAAGGGUGCGCAGGCGGUCGUGUAAGUCUGAUGUGAAAUCUCACAGCUUAACUGUGAAACUGCAUUGGAUACUAUCCGGCUCGAGGAAUGGAGGGGAGACUGGAAUACUUGGUGUAGCAGUGAAAUGCGUAGAGAUGCGGAGGAACACCGAUGGCGAAGGCAGCCCCCUGGGCUGACACUGACGCUGAGGCACGAAAGCGUGGGGAGCAAACAGG
rnacentral:rRNA from 1 species